rnacentral:rRNA from 1 species
GUACACUCCUACGGGAGGCAGCAGUGGGGAAUAUUGGACAAUGGGCGCAAGCCUGAUCCAGCCAUGCCGCGUGAGUGAUGAAGGCCCUAGGGUUGUAAAGCUCUUUCACCGGUGAAGAUAAUGACGGUAACCGGAGAAGAAGCCCCGGCUAACUUCGUGCCAGCAGCCGCGGUAAUACGAAGGGGGCUAGCGUUGUUCGGAUUUACUGGGCGUAAAGCGCACGUAGGCGGACUAUUAAGUCAGGGAUGAAAUCCCGGGGCUCAACCCCGGAACUGCCUUUGAUACUGGUAGUCUUGAGUUCGAGAGAGGUGAGUGGAAUUCCGAGUGUAGAGGUGAAAUUCGUAGAUAUUCGGAGGAACACCAGUGGCGAAGGCGGCUCACUGGCUCGAUACUGACGCUGAGGUGCGAAAGCGUGGGGAGCAAACAGGAUUAGAAACCCCAGUAGUCCCAUGAU